CCUACGGGGGGCAGCAGUGAGGAAUAUUGGUCAAUGGGCGAGAGCCUGAACCAGCCAAGUCGCGUGAGGGAGUACUGCCCUAUGGGUUGUAAACCUCUUUUGUCGGGGAGCAAAAGCCGGACGUGUCCGGCUGUGAGAGUACCCGAAGAAAAAGCCUCGGCUAACCCCGUGCCAGCAGCCGCGGUAAUACGGAGGAUGCGAGCGUUAUCCGGAUUUAUUGGGUUUAAAGGGUGCGCAGGCGGAUUUUUAAGUCAGCGGUAAAAUCGUGGGGCUCAACCCCAUCCAGCCGUUGAAACUGGGGAUCUAGAGUGGGCGAGAGGUAUGCGGAAUGCGUGGUGUAGCGGUGAAAUGCAUAGAUAUCGCGCAGAACCCCGAUUGCGAAGGCAGCAUACCGGUGCACAACUGACGCUCAGGCACGAAAGCGUGGGUAUCGAACAGGAUUAGAUACCCGGGUAGUC
rnacentral:rRNA from 1 species